UGGGGAAUAUUGGGCAAUGGGCGAAAGCCUGACCCAGCAACGCCGCGUGAGUGAUGAAGGCCUUCGGGUUGUAAAACUCUUUGGACAGGGACGAAGAAAGUGACGGUACCUGUAGAACAAGCCACGGCUAACUACGUGCCAGCAGCCGCGGUAAUACGGAAGGUCCGGGCGUUAUCCGGAUUUAUUGGGUUUAAAGGGAGCGUAGGCUGUCUAUUAAGCGUGUUGUGAAAUUUACCGGCUCAACCGGUGGCUUGCAGCGCGAACUGGUCGACUUGAGUAUGCAGGAAGUAGGCGGAAUUCAUGGUGUAGCGGUGAAAUGCUUAGAUAUCAUGACGAACUCCGAUUGCGCAGGCAGCUUACUGUAGCAUAACUGACGCUGAUGCUCGAAAGUGCGGGUAUCAAACAGG
rnacentral:rRNA from 1 species